GGGCCCGUAGCCCAGCCAGGAUAGCGCGGCAGCCUCCUAAGCUGUAGGUCGCGGGUUCAAAUCCCGUCGGGCCCGC
rnacentral:tRNA from 1 species